GGCUGAACCACAUCUCUGUUUGACAAACACUUAUAGUCCCAGACAGCAUCAUAUGCAGUAACCAAAGAUUACUCAAUGCAGUGAUUGUCAGGAGAUGUAUUGGUGCGUGACACAUUUGGCUGUCCUAUGGUAUUGUAUCGACUCUGUCCAGACCUAGAAUUCCCACCGACUGUACUCUCAUUGCCCGCAGCGGUGACUCUGGUGUCAAAUUAAUUCUGGAACUGUGAAGAGCAAGUGGAUUUCGGAGCCUUCAGUUCCAGCACUUUCUACGACAUCCUACUCAAGCACAGCGUGUCUGUCACAAUACGUCUCGGGCAGCUCAGAGGAGAGGUGAAGCAGCUCUAUCAGGGGGUGCUGGGGAAGCUGAGAGAGCUCCACCCUGGCUGGGGGAUGUUUGGAGGGAAAACCGAAAGUCUGGAGAGGCAGGUGGAGCAGGAGAUGGUGCGACGGAGUGCACUGGGCAUUCAGCUGACACAGCUACUGGACAGCCAGCUGCAGAUCCUGCGGGUGGAGAUGAGAGCAGACCACAGCGGGCCAUGCAGAAGACCUUCAGAGACUGCUGGCUGAGGGUCAGACCUCGCUCUGGGAUAAACACAUCAAGCAACAUGAGCGAGUAGCUGAUGAGAUGACUGAGAUGGUAUCAGUGGAGAGCCAGAGGCUGGGGGCCUGGGUUGUGCUUAAAGAGGGCACUGGAGCACAACUAUUAUGCCCUGCUACUGGAUCAGUCCUCAGUAGGGAAGACGUCAUC